GCCGAUGCCGGGACCCAACGACUGACCGCCACCUACGGCCAAAUUAUUCUGUUGUAGUUGCUGCUGCUGCUGCUGCUGCUGCUGCUGCUGUUGCUGUUGCUGUUGCUGUUGUUGCUGUUGCUGCUGCUGCUGCUGUUGCUGCUGCUGCUGUUGCGCCUGUUGUUCCGGAGACGGC